rnacentral:rRNA from 1 species
GAUGAACGCUAGCGGCAGGCCUAACACAUGCAAGUCGAGGGGUAGCAGGAUUAAGCUUGCUUAAUUGCUGACGACCGGCGCACGGGUGCGUAACGCGUAUGCAACCUACCUUAUACUGGGGUAUAGCCCGGAGAAAUUCGGAUUAAUCCCCCAUAGUACUAAUGAAUCGCAUGGUUUAUUAGUUAAAGCAUUGCGGUAUAAGAUGGGCAUGCGUCCUAUUAGCUAGAUGGUGAGGUAACGGCUCACCAUGGCUACGAUAGGUAGGGGGCCUGAGAGGGUGGUCCCCCACACUGGUACUGCGACACGGACCAGACUCCUACGGGAGGCAGCAGUGAGGAAUAUUGGGCAAUGGGCGCAAGCCUGAACCAGCCAUGCCGCGUGCAGGAAGAAUGCCCUAUGGGUUGUAAACUGCUUUUAUUUGGGAAUAAACCUCUUUACGUGUAGAGAGCUGAAGGUACCAAAUGAAUAAGCACCGGCUAACUCCGUGCCAGCCGCCGCGGUAA